rnacentral:rRNA from 1 species
UACGUAGGUGACCAGCGUUGUCCGGAUUUACUGGGCGUAAAGAGCGCGCAGGCGGUCGUUCAAGUCGAGUGUGAAAGCCCCCGGCUCAACUGGGGAGGGUCAUUCGAUACUGAUCGACUUGAAGGCAGGAGAGGGAAGCGGAAUUCCCGGUGUAGUGGUGAAAUGCGUAGAUAUCGGGAGGAACACCGAUGGCGAAGGCAGCCUCCUGGGUCAAGACUGACGCUCAUGCUCGAAAGCGUGGGGAGCAAACAGG